GAGCACUGGGCUUGUCUCUGGUGAGUGCUGGUGUCUCUGGCAAAGAGAUGGGGCACAGAGUGAAGGGGGCUGGGUGGAACUGAGAGACAAGAUGGCUUAUUUCUGCCACCCUGGGGGAAAGUCUCUUGCUGGCUGGGACCUCGGUGCGCUUUCAGGGCUUAGGACUUCCUCUGGCUGUGAUCCUGGCCUUGUCCCGUCCUCAUAACCACAGUGCAGGCGUAUGUAACAACUGACUCAAGAAGACUCCUGGACACUUUACAAUGGGACCUGGAUGCCGGGCCUGAACAAGCUGGCUGUCCCCAGAGCUCAUGACAUUUGAUCUUCAACCCAAGGACAGCCCAUGCUUCCUGUGGUUGCUGUCUUUUGGUUUGUCGGUGCCUCUGUCCCCUGUUGGGCUCCUUGGAGGGAGCUUGCUUGCAAGCAGACGGAUGGAAGCCCACCUGACCUGUCUAGCUGUGGCCACUUCCUCCUUCCCAGCUCAGCCUUUGCUGUGAGAGCUCGGAGUGAAUGCCUUUGAGACCAAACAACAGGAAACCACGAAGCAGGGGUACAUUGGAGGUGUGAGGCCAGGAACAGGAGCACACCAGGAUGAAGGAGCACACCAGGAUGAAGGAGCACACCAGGAUGAAGGAGCACACCAGGAUGAAGGAGCACACCAGGAUGAAGGAGCACACCAGGAUGAAGGAGCACACCAGGAUGAAGGAGCACACCAGGAUGAAGGAGCACAGGCCCUACUUGUCAAGCCUGCUGACUUGGGCUGCUCAGGCUUCUGGUCUUUCAGCCCGGACAGGGGGUAACUGUUCUCUGGGGAUGGAGCUGUGAACGAGGCAAGAACUCAGUUCACAACAGAGCCAACAGAACUCAGAGAGGCACGAGGCACCAGCCCAAGUACUGCCUAAGAAAGAGGGAUGGGGACCCAGGUGGUGCCGAGCUGCGGUGGUCCUUCGGGUGCUAUAAACGCUCAGAUCACCCCGUCUCCUGUAACUCCACGUCUGUGCUCCCAAGAGGAAGAGCAUCAAGCUCAGUGCUCCGUGAGGCUGGAUGUGGAUGGAUUCUGUCUGGUCCUCUCCGGCCUGGGGGGACAUCAGAGCACAGGCUGGUGAGCCGGCCCUGUGGGUGAAGACAGUUCACCUACCCGAUGGCCUGAACUGACUUCCACAGGUGUCCUCCGAUCUGACUGCUACCCCUGUGCUCUGUCUGCAUCCUCUCCUGGUAACUAAAACUAUCAUUAAAACCCUUUUAAAAGCUGUCAUCGUUUUCUAAUGGCA
rnacentral:lncRNA from 1 species